rnacentral:rRNA from 1 species
CCUACGGGAGGCUGCAGUGGGGAAUAUUGGACAAUGGGCGCAAGCCUGAUCCAGCAAUACCGCGUGUGUGAAGAAGGCCUGCGGGUUGUAAAGCACUUUUAAUCGGGAGGAAUAGCGGUCGGUUAAUACCCGGUCGUCUGACAUUACCGAUAGAAAAAGCACCGGCUAACUCCGUGCCAGCAGCCGCGGUAAUACGGAGCGUGCAAGCGGUGCGCGGAAUUAGUGGAGGUGAAUGGUUAAGUCAGGUGUGAAAGCCCCGGGCUUAACCUGGGAACGGCAUUUGAAACUGAUCGACUAGAGUUGGGUAGAGGGGAGUGGAAUUUCAGGUGUAGCGGUGAAAUGCGUAGAUAUCUGAAGGAACACCAGUGGCGAAGGCGGCUCCCUGGACCCAAACUGACGCUGAGGCACGAAAGCGUGGGUAGCAAACAGGAUUAGAUACCCUUGUAGUC